CUGGGCGUUAAGUUGCAGGGUAUAGACCCGAAACCCGGUGAUCUAGCCAUGGGCAGGUUGAAGGUUGGGUAACACUAACUGGAGGACCGAACCGACUAAUGUUGAAAAAUUAGCGGAUGACUUGUGGCUGGGGGGGAAAGGCCAAUCAAACCGGGAGAUAGCUGGUUCUCCCCGAAAGCUAUUUAGGUAGCGCCUCGUGAAUUCAUCUCCGGGGGUAGAGCACUGUUUCGGCAAGGGGGUCAUCCCGACUUACCAACCCGAUGCAAACUGCGAAUACCGGAGAAUGUUAUCACGGGAGACACACGGCGGGUGCUAACGUCCGUCGUGAAGAGGGAAACAACCCAGACCGCCAGCUAAGGUCCCAAAGUCAUGGUUAAGUGGGAAACGAUGUGGGAAGGCCCAGACAGCCAGGAUGUUGGCUUAGAAGCAGCCAUCAUUUAAAGAAAGCGUAAUAGCUCACUGGUCGAGUCGGCCUGCGCGGAAGAUGUAACGGGGCUAAACCAUGCACCGAAGCUGCGGCAGCGACGCUUAUGCGUUGUUGGGUAGGGGAGCGUUCUGUAAGCCUGCGAAGGUGUGCUGUGAGGCAUGCUGGAGGUAUCAGAAGUGCGAAUGCUGACAUAAGUAACGAUAAAGCGGGUGAAAAGCCCGCUCGCCGGAAGACCAAGGGUUCCUGUCCAACGUUAAUCGGGGCAGGGUGAGUCGACCCCUAAGGCGAGGCCGAAAGGCGUAGUCGAUGGGAAACAGGUUAAUAUUCCUGUACUUGGUGUUACUGCGAAGGGGGGACGGAGAAGGCUAUGUUGGCCGGGCGACGGUUGUCCCGGUUUAAGCGUGUAGGCUGGUUUUCCAGGCAAAUCCGGAAAAUCAAGGCUGAGGCGUGAUGACGAGGCACUACGGUGCUGAAGCAACAAAUGCCCUGCUUCCAGGAAAAGCCUCUAAGCAUCAGGUAACAUCAAAUCGUACCCCAAACCGACACAGGUGGUCAGGUAGAGAAUACCAAGGCGCUUGAGAGAACUCGGGUGAAGGAACUAGGCAAAAUGGUGCCGUAACUUCGGGAGAAGGCACGCUGAUAUGUAGGUGAAGUCCCUCGCGGAUGGAGCUGAAAUCAGUCGAAGAUACCAGCUGGCUGCAACUGUUUAUUAAAAACACAGCACUGUGCAAACACGAAAGUGGACGUAUACGGUGUGACGCCUGCCCGGUGCCGGAAGGUUAAUUGAUGGGGUUAGCGCAAGCGAAGCUCUUGAUCGAAGCCCCGGUAAACGGCGGCCGUAACUAUAACGGUCCUAAGGUAGCGAAAUUCCUUGUCGGGUAAGUUCCGACCUGCACGAAUGGCGUAAUGAUGGCCAGGCUGUCUCCACCCGAGACUCAGUGAAAUUGAACUCGCUGUGAAGAUGCAGUGUACCCGCGGCAAGACGGAAAGACCCCGUGAACCUUUACUAUAGCUUGACACUGAACAUUGAGCCUUGAUGUGUAGGAUAGGUGGGAGGCUUUGAAGUGUGGACGCCAGUCUGCAUGGAGCCGACCUUGAAAUACCACCCUUUAAUGUUUGAUGUUCUAACGUGGACCCGUAAUCCGGGUUGCGGACAGUGUCUGGUGGGUAGUUUGACUGGGGCGGUCUCCUCCUAAAGAGUAACGGAGGAGCACGAAGGUUGGCUAAUCCUGGUCGGACAUCAGGAGGUUAGUGCAAUGGCAUAAGCCAGCUUGACUGCGAGCGUGACGGCGCGAGCAGGUGCGAAAGCAGGUCAUAGUGAUCCGGUGGUUCUGAAUGGAAGGGCCAUCGCUCAACGGAUAAAAGGUACUCCGGGGAUAACAGGCUGAUACCGCCCAAGAGUUCAUAUCGACGGCGGUGUUUGGCACCUCGAUGUCGGCUCAUCACAUCCUGGGGCUGAAGUAGGUCCCAAGGGUAUGGCUGUUCGCCAUUUAAAGUGGUACGCGAGCUGGGUUUAGAACGUCGUGAGACAGUUCGGUCCCUAUCUGCCGUGGGCGCUGGAGAACUGAGGGGGGCUGCUCCUAGUACGAGAGGACCGGAGUGGACGCAUCACUGGUGUUCGGGUUGUCAUGCCAAUGGCACUGCCCGGUAGCUAAAUGCGGAAGAGAUAAGUGCUGAAAGCAUCUAAGCACGAAACUUGCCCCGAGAUGAGUUCUCCCUGACCCUUUAAGGGUCCUGAAGGAACGUUGAAGACGACGACGUUGAUAGGCCGGGUGUGUAAGCGCAGCGAUGCGUUGAGCUAACCGGUACUAAUGAACCGUGAGGCUUAACCUU
rnacentral:rRNA from 1 species